rnacentral:rRNA from 1 species
UUAUGUGGCCAUAGCGACUUGUCACAGCCUGAUCUCCUCAGAUCUCAGAGGCUACACAGGGCCGGGCCUGGUUAGUACUUUGAUGGGAGACAGCUGGUAAUACCAGGUGCCACAGUGG